CAGUCGCCACGGGAAUACAGAGGGUGCGAGCGUUAAUCGGAUUUACUGGGCGUAAAGCGUGCGUAGGCGGCUAAUUGAGUCGGAUGUGAAAUCCCCGAGCUUAACUUGGGAAUUGCAUUCGAUACUGGUUAGCUAGAGUGUGGGAGAGGAUGGUAGAAUUCCAGGUGUAGCGGUGAAAUGCGUAGAGAUCUGGAGGAAUACCGAUGGCGAAGGCAGCCAUCUGGCCUAACACUGACGCUAAGGUACGAAAGCAUGGGGAGCAAACAGGAUUAGAUACCCGAGUAGUCCCUGUCUCUUAUAC
rnacentral:rRNA from 1 species